rnacentral:rRNA from 1 species
UACGGAGGGUGCAAGCAUUGAUCGGAAUUACUGGGCGUAAAGGGCGCGUAGGCGGCACGAUAAGUCAGAUGUGAAAUUCCGGGGCUCAACCCCGGAGCUGCAUUUGAAACUGUCGAGCUAGAGUACAGUUAGGGUAAACGGAAUUCCACGUGUAGCGGUGAAAUGCGUAGAUAUGUGGAAGAACACCGGUGGUGAAGACGGUUUACUGGGCUGAAACUGACGCUGAGGCGCGAAAGCAUGGGGAGCAAACAGG